AGGACGAACGCUGGCGGCGUGCUUAACACAUGCAAGUCGAACGAGGCGCUUGCGCCUAGUGGCGAACGGGUGAGUAACACGUGAGCAACCUGCCCUUGGCUCUGGGAUAGCCUCCGGAAACGGGGAUUAAUACCGGACAUGACCUUCUCCUGCAUGGGGGAGGGUGGAAAGUUUUUCGGCCAGGGAGGGGCUCGCGGCCUAUCAGCUUGUUGGGGGGUAACGGCCCACCAAGGCGACGACGGGUAGCC
rnacentral:rRNA from 1 species